rnacentral:rRNA from 1 species
GCAGGCUGCAACUCGCCUGUAUGAAGUCGGAAUUGCUAGUAAUCGCGGAUCAGCAUGCCGCGGUGAAUACGUUCCCGGGCCUUGUACACACCGCCCGUCACACCAUGAGAGCCGGGAACACCCGAAGUCCGUAGUCUAACCGCAAGGAGGACGCGGCCGAAGGUGGGUUUGGUAAUUGGGGUGAAGUCGUAACAAGGUAAC